GAUGAACGCUGGCGGCGUGCCUAAUACAUGCAAGUCGAGCGAACAGACGAGGAGCUUGCUCCUCUGACGUUAGCGGCGGACGGGUGAGUAACACGUGGAUAACCUACCUAUAAGACUGGGAUAACUUCGGGAAACCGGAGCUAAUACCGGAUAAUAUAUUGAACCGCAUGGUUCAAUAGUGAAAGACGGUUUUGCUGUCACUUAUAGAUGGAUCCGCGCCGCAUUAGCUAGUUGGUAAGGUAACGGCUUACCAAGGCGACGAUGCGUAGCCGACCUGAGAGGGUGAUCGGCCACACUGGAACUGAGACACGGUCCAGACUCCUACGGGAGGCAGCAGUAGGGAAUCUGCCGCAAUGGGCGAAAGCCUGACGGAGCAACGCCGCGUGAGUGAUGAAGGUCUGCGGAUCGUAAAACUCUGUUAUUAGGGAAGAACAAAUGUGUAAGUAACUAUGCACGUCUUGACGGUACCUAAUCAGAAAGCCACGGCUAACUACGG
rnacentral:rRNA from 1 species